AGAAAAUAAGCCAUCACGGGGCCAAAGAAAGUUGCAAGUGCCAGGUUGAUAAAGAAGAAAAUAAGCCAUCAUGGGACCAAAGAAAGUUGCAAGUGCCAGGUUGAUAAAGAAGAAAAUAAGCCAUCAUGGGGCCAAAGAAAGUUGCAAGUGCCAGGUUGAUAAAGAAGAAAAUAAGCCAUCAUGGGACCAAAGAAAGUUGCAAGUGCCAGGUUGAUAAAGAAG